AAGGCAAGUGGAGCUUCUUCCAAAUCAGGCGAGAAACCAGCAGAAGCGGCAGAGAAGAAACCAGGAAGUGCUAAUGUUAGCCAACCCCCCAAAACACAGACAAGUGGAGCACCUUCUGCUGUUAAGAAGCAGUCCCCCUCUGCGGAUGCAUCAAAACCACAAAUUGCGAAGCCAUCUGAA